CAGGAUACCUUUUGACCCUCCUUAGUUCAACCAAAUGAACUAGAAUUUUAAGAUGGCACAUCUUUUUGAAAACUAGUUCGUUUGUUUGAACUAAGGAGACUCAAAGGGUACCCUG
rfam:Brachypodium distachyon strain Bd21 chromosome 3, whole genome shotgun sequence.